GCGGAAGUGGCGGAAUUGGUAGACGCACCCGAUUUAGGUUCUGAGCGCCGCCAGAUGUGAGAGGUCAAGUCUCUCCUUCCGCACCA
rnacentral:tRNA from 1 species